UGGGAGGAACCUGUGUACCUUGGACACAGUAAUAUACUCCAGCAUCCUCAGCCUCCACCCUGCCAAUUGUCAGUGUGAAAUCUGUCCCUGAUCCACUGCCACUAAACCUGUCUGGGACCCCAGUGUCCCUGUUGGAGACCUUAUAUAUUAGGCCCUGUGGAGCCUGGCCUGGCUUGUGCACAACCCAGUGCAAAUAUGUGUUUCCAUCACUGUGUAGGAGGCUCUGACUGGACCUGCAGGAGAUGGAGACUGACUGUCCAGGGGUGAUGGGCUCAGAGAGAGGAGUCUGGGUCAGCACAACAUCCCCACUGGUUCCUGCAAA
rnacentral:lncRNA from 1 species